rnacentral:rRNA from 1 species
AGAGUUUGAUCAUGGCUCAGAUUGAACGCUGGCGGCAUGCCUUACACAUGCAAGUCGAACGGCAGCAUGAUCUAGCUUGCUAGAUUGAUGGCGAGUGGCGAACGGGUGAGUAAUACAUCGGAACGUGCCCUGUAGUGGGGGAUAACUAGUCGAAAGAUUAGCUAAUACCGCAUACGACCUGAGGGUGAAAGUGGGGGACCGCAAGGCCUCAUGCUAUAGGAGCGGCCGAUGUCUGAUUAGCUAGUUGGUGAGGUAAAGGCUCACCAAGGCGACGAUCAGUAGCUGGUCUGAGAGGACGAUCAGCCACACUGGGACUGAGACACGGCCCAGACUCCUACGGGAGGCAGCAGUGGGGAAUUUUGGACAAUGGGGGCAACCCUGAUCCAGCAAUGCCGCGUGUGUGAAGAAGGCCUUCGGGUUGUAAAGCACUUUUGUCCGGAAAGAAAUCGCACUUACUAAUAUUAGGUGUGGAUGACGGUACCGGAAGAAUAAGGACCGGCUAACCACGUGCCAGCAGCCGCGGUAAUACGUAGGGUCCAAGCGUUAAUCGGAAUUACUGGGCGUAAAGCGUGCGCAGGCGGUUGUGCAAGACCGAUGUGAAAUCCCCGGGCUUAACCUGGGAAUUGCAUUGGUGACUGCACGGCUAGAGUGUGUCAGAGGGGGGUAGAAUUCCACGUGUAGCAGUGAAAUGCGUAGAGAUGUGGAGGAAUACCGAUGGCGAAGGCAGCCCCCUGGGAUAACACUGACGCUCAUGCACGAAAGCGUGGGGAGCAAGCAGGAUUAGAUACCCUGGUAGUCCACGCCCUAAACGAUGUCAACUAGUUGUUGGGGAUUCAUUUCCUUAGUAACGUAGCUAACGCGUGAAGUUGACCGCCUGGGGAGUACGGUCGCAAGAUUAAAACUCAAAGGAAUUGACGGGGACCCGCACAAGCGGUGGAUGAUGUGGAUUAAUUCGAUGCAACGCGAAAAACCUUACCUACCCUUGACAUGCCACUAACGAAGCAGAGAUGCAUUAGGUGCUCGAAAGAGAAAGUGGACACAGGUGCUGCAUGGCUGUCGUCAGCUCGUGUCGUGAGAUGUUGGGUUAAGUCCCGCAACGAGCGCAACCCUUGUCUCUAGUUGCUACGAAAGGGCACUCUAGAGAGACUGCCGGUGACAAACCGGAGGAAGGUGGGGAUGACGUCAAGUCCUCAUGGCCCUUAUGGGUAGGGCUUCACACGUCAUACAAUGGUGCAUACAGAGGGUUGCCAAGCCGCGAGGUGGAGCUAAUCCCAGAAAAUGCAUCGUAGUCCGGAUCGUAGUCUGCAACUCGACUACGUGAAGCUGGAAUCGCUAGUAAUCGCGGAUCAGCAUGCCGCGGUGAAUACGUUCCCGGGUCUUGUAGA